rnacentral:rRNA from 1 species
GAGUUUGAUCGUGGCUCAGGACGAACGCUGGCGGCGUGCUUAACACAUGCAAGUCGAGCGGAAAGGCCCCUUCGGGGGUACUCGAGCGGCGAACGGGUGAGUAACACGUGAGCAACCUGCCCCUGACUUUGGGAUAAGCCUGGGAAACCGGGUCUAAUACCGGAUAUGACCUCCGAUCGCAUGGUCGGUGGUGGAAAGUUUUUCGGUCAGGGUUGGGCUCGCGGCCUAUCAGCUUGUUGGUGGGUGAUGGCCUACCAAGGCGACGACGGGUAACCGGCCUGAGAGGGCGACCGGUCACACUGGGACUGAGACACGGCCCAGACUCCUACGGGAGGCAGCAGUGGGGAAUAUUGCGCAAUGGGCGGAAGCCUGACGCAGCGACGCCGCGUGAGGGAUGAC